AAGAAGCAAGACCGUGAGGUGGAGCAAAACUCAAAAACUUGUCUCAGUUCGGAUUGUAGGCUGAAACUCGCCUACAUGAAGCUGGAGUUGCUAGUAAUCGCGAAUCAGCAUGUCGCGGUGAAUACGUUCCCGGGCCUUGUACACACCGCCCGUCACACCAUGAGAGUUGGCAAUACCCAACGUACGUGAUCUAACCCGCAAGGGAGGAAGCGCCCUAAGGUAGGGUCAGCGAUUGGGGUGAAGUCGUAACAAGGUAUC
rnacentral:rRNA from 1 species